GCAAGGAAUUUCAAUGCACUCUGGUGUAUGUGGAAAUAAAGGAAUCUGAAUCAGACAGUUGAAUGCACAACUUGGGCGGAUCCUCUCAGACACCAGUCAGGCAGAAGGAUGGACGGCUGGUUUCUGACAGAGACUAACACCAUACCGUUGUUGGCUUUCACGGUUAGAAUUUCCUGCUCCUCCAAUGCUCGAUCUCAGUCAAGCAGUCUGACAAGUUAAUGACAAUGGCGGUGGUGGGGUGAAGAUGUGACGCAGAGGGAGAGCUGUUAUUUCCUGAGGGGCUGUGCGUGGAUGGGAAAUAGUAGGGCUCCAGAGACAGACCCUCAGAGAAGAACUCACCUGACCCUGAGCAAUAUUGCUGAAUUUAACAGUGGAACAUAUUCCAGGCAGAAGAUACAGGAGCCUGAGGGCACGUACCACCAGGCUCAAGGACAGCUUCUACCCCACUGUGAUAAGACUAUUGAACAGUUCCCUUAUACGAUGAGAUGGACUCUGACCUCACAAUCUACCUUGUUGUAACCUUGCACCUUAUUGCACUGCAUUUUUUCUGUAGCUGUGACACUUUACUCUGUACUGUUAUUGUUUUUACUUGUACUAUAUCAAUGCACUCUGUACUAAUUCAAUGUAACUGCACUGUGUAAUGAAUUGACCUGUACAAUCGAUAUGCAAGACAAGUUUUUCACUGUACCUCGGUACAAGUGAC